ensembl:ncRNA Y73B6BL.275 ncRNA
UUUCAAUGUGGCAACUUAUAGUUAGAUAAAUUUUGAUUAUUUUACUUUGAAUUCGGAAUUCGCCACAUACCUGAAGAGUCAUUUGGCAUCUGUUGGCAGAACUGGAGUAAUAUUUAA